CGAAGGGUGCAAGCGUUACUCGGAAUUACUGGGCGUAAAGCGUGCGUAGGUGGUUUGUUAAGUCUGAUGUGAAAGCCCUGGGCUCAACCUGGGAAUUGCAUUGGAUACUGGCAGGCUAGAGUGCGGUAGAGGAUGGCGGAAUUCCCGGUGUAGCAGUGAAAUGCGUAGAGAUCGGGAGGAACAUCUGUGGCGAAGGCGGCCAUCUGGACCAGCACUGACACUGAGGCACGAAAGCGUGGGGAGCAAACAGGAUUAGAUACCCUGGUAGUCCACGCCCUAAACGAUGCGAACUGGAUGUUGGGAGUAAUUAGGCUCUCAGUAUCGAAGCUAACGCGUUAAGUUCGCCGCCUGGGGAGUACGGUCGCAAGACUG
rnacentral:rRNA from 1 species